rnacentral:lncRNA from 7 species
GGACCAGGAGGAGUAGCGUGGCCAGGCUUCGCCAUGUUACUCGGUUUUCUCCGUUAGUUAUUUCCGCUGCAUUAAAAUUUAUGAUUAUUAUUUCUGAAACUCCGAUAAUGUAAUCACUAUUGAUACUUAUUAAAUUUGUGGUAUUAUGCUUUAUUGUAUUUCUCUGUGCCUCACCUUCGAGUGAGCUAGUGGUAUUCGAUCCUGGUAAGUGGCUUUAUCGGACUAGAUCCGAGGGACUGACGGGUUAUUCCUGUUUAAGUGUGUUGCUGCCAUUAAGGGUGCGACUUGGGCACUUAAGCUGGAAUAAUUCGGGCGGUUCCGCCACAGCUGGUAUCGGAGCGAAUACCCGUACAGAGAAGUCAAUAAGUCAUGAUUACCAACCUUUUCUAAAGUAAAACUUGCUUAGAAACCAAGUUGGAUAGCUGUCAGGACGAUAAGGAUAGACCUAGGACGUGAAGCCCUAGGAAUAGAUGGGUAGCUAGGUGGCUAGUUAUUUAGGCCAUAAAGGCUACUACUACUGUUAAUAGGAUGCUAUAGCAAGCACCCGAAAAAUUAGUUAGGUCUGAGAAGACGACUAGAAUGAGCAUGCAUCAUGAUUGUCGCAUCAUUGUCUCUUGUGCACCAACAUGCUUCUCUCACCUUUAUUCUAAUAAUAAGAACUUGUGAAUAAUGUAAUGUACUGCUAUGUUAGGAACUAUAAGAAAUGUCUUCCUCGUGUCAGAUUGAUAAGUCUUGUUAGGUCGUGCUAUGUGUUUCUCUUGUCUUGCUAGCUAGGUGGUAUUGUAAUUGUUCAACCCU